CAUGCGCGGCUCCGUUGGGUUGGUGGGACCUCCAGCGUCAGUUGACCAGAACUCUGCAGGUUCACAUCAGCCCCAUGGGGUCGCUGCCUU
rnacentral:pre_miRNA from 1 species